rnacentral:rRNA from 1 species
AUUGAACGCUGGCGGCAGGCCUAACACAUGCAAGUCGAGCGGAUGAAGGGAGCUUGCUCCUGGAUUCAGCGGCGGACGGGUGAGUAAUGCCUAGGAAUCUGCCUGGCAGUGGGGGAUAACGUCCGGAAACGGGCGCUAAUACCGCAUACGUCCUGAGGGAGAAAGUGGGGGAUCUUCGGACCUCACGCUGUCAGAUGAGCCUAGGUCGGAUUAGCUAGUUGGUGGGGUAAAGGCCUACCAAGGCGACGAUCCGUAACUGGUCUGAGAGGAUGAUCAGUCACACUGGAACUGAGACACGGUCCAGACUCCUACGGGAGGCAGCAGUGGGGAAUAUUGGACAAUGGGCGAAAGCCUGAUCCAGCCAUGCCGCGUGUGUGAAGAAGGUCUUCGGAUUGUAAAGCACUUUAAGUUGGGAGGAAGGGCAGUAAGUUAAUACCUUGCUGUUUUGACGUUACCAACAGAAUAAGCACCGGCUAACUUCGUG